GAUGAACGCUGGCGGCGUGCCUAAUACAUGCAAGUCGAGCGAACGGACGAGAAGCUUGCUUCUCUGAUGUUAGCGGCGGACGUGUGAGUAACACGUGGUUCCCCUACCUAUAAGACUGGUAUAACUUCGUGAAACCGGAGCUAGUACCGGAUAAUAUUUUGAUCCGCAGGGUUCAAAAGUGGAUGACGGUCUUGCUGUCACUUAUAGCCUGAUCCGCGCUGCAUUAGCUAGUUGGUAAGGGAACGGCUUACCAAGGCAACGAUGCAUAGCCGAACUGAGAGGGUGCUCGCCCACACUGGAACUGGGCUACCGUCCAGACUCCUACGGGAGGCAGCAGUAGGGAAUCUUCCGCAAUGGGCGAAAGCCUGACGGAGCAACGCCGCGUGAGUGAUGACGGUCUUCGGAUCGUAAAACUCUGUUAUUAGGGAAGAACAUAUGUGUAAGGAACUGUGCACAUCUUGACGGUACCUAAUCAGAAAGCCACGGCUAACUACGUG
rnacentral:rRNA from 1 species